rnacentral:rRNA from 1 species
UACGUAGGCAGCAAGCGUUGUUCGGAAUUACUGGGCGUAAAGAGUGUGUAGGCGGUGCUCUAAGUUCGGUGUGAAAUCCCUCGGCUUAACUGAGGACGUGCGGAAGAAACUGCAGGGCUUGAGUCCGGGAGAGGGGGGUGGAAUUCCCAGUGUAGCGGUGAAAUGCGUAGAUAUUGGGAGGAACACCGGUGGCGAAGGCGGCCCCCUGGACCGGUACUGACGCUGAGGCGCGAAAGCGUGGGUAGCAAACGGG